rnacentral:misc_RNA from 1 species
CGGAUCUCAAGCACAACCUCUUUCCGCCACCACCAGCAAGAUGAGGCCGAUAUUGAUGAAGGGCCAUGAACGCCCCCUCACCUUCCUCAAGUACAAUCGAGAAGGGGAUCUCCUGUUUUCCUGCGCAAAGGAUCACGACCCAACGAUCUGGUUCGCCGACAACGGCGAGCGCCUCGGAAACUAUCGCGGCCACAACGGCGCCGUCUGGUGCUGCGACGUCUCCAGGGAUUCGACGCGGCUCAUCACUGGCAGCGCCGAUCAAACCGUCAAGCUGUGGAAUGUGAGGACGGGGGAACAGUUAUAUAGCUUCAAUUUCGAUUCGCCGGCCAGGGCGGUGGAUUUCUCUGUGGGGGAUAAGCUGGCGGUGAUUACGACGGAUCCUUUCAUGGGACAACCGUCGUCGAUUCAAGUGAAGAGGAUUGCUAGUGAUCCCAGUGAGCAGACUAGUGAAUCGGUGCUUACUAUCACUGGUCCCUCGGGGAGGAUUAAUAGGGCGAUCUGGGGUCCACUAAAUAGGACCAUAAUCAGUGCUGGUGAAGAUGCUAUUAUCCGAAUUUGGGAUUCUG